rnacentral:rRNA from 1 species
AUUGAACGCUGGCGGCAGGCCUAACACAUGCAAGUCGAGCGGAUGAAGGGAGCUUGCUCCUGGAUUCAGCGGCGGACGGGUGAGUAAUGCCUAGGAAUCUGCCUGGUAGUGGUGGAUAACGUCCGGAAACGGGCGCUAAUACCGCAUACGUCCUGAGGGAGCAAGUGGGGGAGCUUCGGACCUCACGCUAUCAGAUGAGCCUAGGUCUGAUUAGCUAGUUGGUGGGGUAAAGGCCUACCUAGGGGGUGAUCCGUAACUGGGCUGAGGGGAUGAGCCGUCACUCUGGAGCUGAGAGGCGGUCCUGGCACUUACGGGAGGCACAGGUGGCGACUGUUGGACGCUGUGCGGAAGACUGAACCAGCCAUGCAGCGUGGGUGAAGCAGGGCUGCGGGUUGUAAAGCACCUUACGUUGGGAGGACGGGCAGUACGUUAAUACCUGGCUGAUUUAACGUUACCAGCAAAGAAGACACCGGCUAAUUUGGU